rnacentral:rRNA from 1 species
CCUGCCCUUGACUCUGGGAUAAGCCUGGGAAACUGGGUCUAAUACUGGAUACUACCUCUUGCCGCAUGGUGGGUGGUGGAAAGGGUUUUACUGGUUUUGGAUGGGCUCACGGCCUAUCAGCUUGUUGGUGGGGUAAUGGCUCACCAAGGCGACGACGGGUAGCCGGCCUGAGAGGGUGACCGGCCACACUGGGACUGAGACACGGCCCANACUCCUACGGGAGGCAGCAGUGGGGAAUAUUGCACAAUGGGCGGAAGCCUGAUGCAGCGACGCCGCGUGAGGGAUGACGGCCUUCGGGUUGUAAACCUCUUUCAGUAGGGAAGAAGCGAGAGUGACGGUACCUGCAGAAGAAGCGCCGGCUAACUACGUGCCAGCAGCCGCGGUAAUACGUAGGGCGCAAGCGUUGUCCGGAAUUAUUGGGCGUAAAGAGCUCGUAGGCGGUUUGUCGCGUCUGCUGU